GACAAAUAGGACUCUGGGGCCCAUGCCUGGAUGUUCAUGGUAAAUUUUGGGCCUUUGGGCGGCUGUAACUUACUAACUUGUAUGAUCUUAGCGGGCGGACUCCGACGUUAGUCCUAGGCCGACGGGGCCUCCUACGGGCCCAAUUAAUUGAGACGUUGGAUUCGAGGCUACGCGAAUCUCAACGAAUUGCCAGUUCCCGUCCUCAUCCAGUGGAAGGCAGCUGUGCCAGCUCAAAUGCUCGAAUCAGCAGACGUGGGAAUCUCGGCAGGGCGCCGCAGGGAAGAGGAGGCCGAGCGCUCUACGUCUGCCAUGGCGAGCUCUUCCGACCCCGACAAGCUCAUGAGCAAAGCCGACAAACUGUAAUUAGGCUUGCACGGAAGCUACCAACAGGUGAUCUGCAGGCCAUCAAGAAAUCUGACGAUGGCGAGGAAUCCUUGGACGAGGAUGACCUGACUUAAAACGAUCUCCCGAGCCAAAAGGUGCAGAGAACAAACGUCAUAGUUUGCCAUCGGUGGGGGAACAACUGUAAAAAGAAGUUAUGCGAGUUACAUACUAAAAACUUGUGGGCAGCAUUCCCAUAUCUAUAAACAUGAAAUUUGUAGGGCCCAAUUAUGUUGUAUCCGUACUGGUGGUUUGGUGUUACCGAAACUUAGUGGUAUGUUUAUGGUUUCUUGUACUACAUGAUUCUUGCAAAUCCAGCAUGGUGUAAAAUUAAUAUGUUGGCCAAUCAUUACUCCUACAUUUGUA